rnacentral:rRNA from 1 species
UACGUAGGGGGCAAGCGUUGUUCGGAAUGACUGGGCGUAAAGGGUGCGUAGGCGGUUGUACAAGUUAGAAGUGAAAUACCCAGGCUUAACUCGGGUGCUGCUUCUAAAACUGUAUGACUUGAGUGCAGUAGAGGUUAGUGGAAUUCCUAGUGUAGCGGUGGAAUGCGUAGAUAUUAGGAGGAACACCAGUGGCGAAGGCGGCCACCUGGACCGGUAUUGACGCUGAGGCGCGAAGCGUGGGGAGCAAACAGG